CUGUCAUUUAGAGGAACUAAAAGUCGUAACAAGGUAACCGUAGGUGAACCUGCGGUUGGAUCAUUAUUGAUACAACGGCCUUGGAGUCCUCUUCGGAGUUGAUUCCUCGGCCUUACCCACCCCAUGUGCAAUGUAACCGUAUUUUGGGACUGUCGUUGAGCUUUUUGCCUGACAUUAAGCAGUCCCAACAGUAUUAAACUCUAUUUAAUUUGUCUGAAAUGAAACCAAGAAUCGUAACAACUUUUGACAACGGAUCUCUUGGCUCUC
rnacentral:misc_RNA from 1 species